AAUCUUGAAGCCAUGAAGAUCUGCUGAACCAAGUCAGAUAAAAAAGGGGUUAGUGGGUCAGAAGCCUGAGAACCCCAUAAGACAUACAGCACAUAAAUGGGAAUCUAACUAUGAGCAUGAAAUUAACUCUGGAAAGGUGGAAAUUGGGCCUUGAGCAGGAUUUUCAGUUGAAACAAACUGGAGAAGACGGAACUGCGGAAAUUGGAAAAUAAAGAAAUUAAAACUGGAGUCUUUUCGUGGUGCAGCCUUUUAACUCAAAGAGAAAAAGGUUGGCGGAGAGAAAAAUUGAUGGAAAGAGAAAGAAGAGUAGAGAAAAAAAUAGGAAAAGUAGCAGAAAUGCAAGAUAGUUAGAAGGGUGGAGGUGGGAAGGAGAAGGAAGAGAGAUGGGCUUCAAGAAUGGGAGACGGUAAGGAAGAAAAGGGUUCAACUAACUCAACAAGGUCAAGGGCAAAUAAAUGUCUCUUUUUAUUUUUUAACUUUUCGUUUAUUCAAUUUUAUACGUGCUAUUUAAGAUAUCAAAAAUUAACAUCUACUCUACUUGAUUUUUUUUAACUUGGGAGAGAGAACAAUGAGUUUGAAGCCUAAAGUGUAUCGCUUGUUCCUUUAAGAAUAUUUGCUUGAUUUAAGUAAAUAGAAUGUAUGAAAUAACUUAAUGGGGAUGCAUCUCAAUUGAUAAAUAAAUUAAUGGCUAAAUUGCCUGUAAAUUUAAAAUAUUUUAUUAAAUUUGAAAUUAAAAUUUAUUUUAUUUUUUNUUCGCCAUCGCUAGCGUCAGAGAUGACACCUUCCCACCAACCAUCACUCCACCACGUGUCAGCUGGAUCUCCAACUCCGAAGGUUGGGCUCGGCUCGUUGCUAGGAUAGGCAGGUCUGACAGUUGGGCGGCCAGCAUGCCGCAUCCCCAGCUUAUCAGCCUUAGCCACUCUAUUUGUAGGAAUCCAUUCCUACAGUUAUCACAAUGUAAAACACACACUCAAAACAUAAUACAAGAAUGGCCAUAACCAUCCACAGAAAGUUCACACAUAUUGGUUGAUUCGUCUUGAUAUCAUGCAAGACUUGAAAGUUUCAUUUCCUUUUCAGGACAUACUCUGACAACUAAAAGAUAUUAUGGUGAUGCAUACCUCAAGGUUGGUGCAACUAUCCUCAUCCUUAAUAUCUUCGUACAGAAUUUUUAUCUGUCUCCUCGAGAUCUCUAAGACUGUGCAUCUGAACCAGCAACCACGAAUACCACUGUCUUGACAAAGAAACUCCACCUUUUCAUUCUGUUGAAAAAGACUUUGCCGAAAUUGACCAUCGACAUGCUUGAGAAAAUUUGUCUCUCUGCUCAGCAGACCAUAUUUCUUGUAUGACAGAUCAUAUGCUGAUUUAUGAUCGUCUCUGGAACUUCUAUGCCUUUUAGAUCCCACUUUUGCAUCAUCCUCAGAGCUAAACUCGUCUUCCUCAAAAAAAUCCGGGCUAAAGCACGAGAAUAUUGCUUGAUCAUAAUAUCCCCGUAAUUUACUUAGUUUGAAUUGCUUUACUCUAUUACCCUUGAACUGUCUGAAACAGAAAUGAAGUCCACCUAACAAAUCGUGUGGAAACACUUCCAGGCAUUUCUCAUAGUGUUCACGAGUUAAUACUAUGGCCGGGCCAUCAACACAUUCAGCGCUGAUGACCUGAACAUAAGGAGUAAUAAAGACUUCUUUGGGAUCAGGAUUACGUAAAGACACAACUCCCUUCACUUCCUUAUUAUGAUGGAACCAUCUCACUUUGACCUUUUUCUGGCACUUCCUGUCUUCAUACAUAUCCUCCAAAUAUGCAAUAUAGCGAUUCUCUUUCUCAGCCAUGACAAAGACAAAUGAUUGAACCUGAAUAGCAGGAAAAUGUAAGGCACAUAAUUGAUGGACAUGGUGGUGAAAAAUAGUUAAAGAAGAGCUACUAUGAACAUUUUGUCAUUCUACCAACAUAAUAUUCUUUCAAGAUGGAAAAAUAAGAUGGCAUCUAAAUUAAAACAAAUUCUCUUGCGUCACAUAAAACGAAUUGCUUCUAGGAGAUCUCUCUCGGAAGUUAACUCAAUCAGGUGGUUUACAAACCCUCUUCACAGGCAAUAUAAUAUAGAUGAAUGUUUAUAGAGUCAAGCUUGAGAAACUCUAUAUAGGAUGGAUUUAAAGAGACUUACAGAUAUUGAAAUCCCAUUCCUGCAAAAUUCUGGGUAAUGCUUCAAUUGUUUACCACAAGCCCAAGCUGAACCUGACCAUGAAAUGUCUAAAUGAUGGCCUUUCAAAUUCCUAGCUAUGCGACCCUGACAUAAAUUAUAGUACAAUUUGUGAAUAAAAAGACGCAGAUGAAUAGAAACACAAACAUGAUACAAUAAAAUACAUGGCGAGAAACAUGUACCUUAUGAGGUAGCAUCUGGGUCUGCUGAGCAUUUAAUUCAGCAGUAUGGUUACCUUUAGGCGACACUGCAAUCAAAAAGGGAAAAUGAAAAAUAUUAAGCUAAAAAGAAUUUCUAAAUGUAAUUUGAGUGCAUUUAGAAAAUAAAAGCAAAGUAAUAUAGCCAUCAUUGUGGCAGUUAUUUCACCUGAAAGUAUUAGGUCAACAACAUUAGUCCUUUACAACAGGAGUUAUUUUUAAAGUUGAGUUUCAGAAGUUCUACUGUUCUACAAAUACAAAAAAGUUCUCAUGGAGGGGGUUCGGUACUAUCAAAGGAGACAUCAACGAAUUAACUUUCUCACCAAAACCAGAAGAUAAAUCAUAACUUCACAGGAAUGAAUCAGAGAUUCUGUCCAAAAGGUUACCACUAAAACCAUAUAUGGCAGGACGUGGGGAAGAAAAAAUGGCACAACAUGAAGGAAUGUAGUCCACAAGUUACAACCAAGACAAGUUCCAUGGAAAAUAAUCAUAAUCUUCUAGCUUUAAGUAGUUAGUUAGUCGCACAGGAAAAGGCAAACAUGCCAUGAAAAUAUGCUAGGUCAAGUCCAAAGUAUUCUACUAGAAUUCAGCCUCUCUUUGCUAAAGAAAAUAAUUCAAGAACCAAAGUGAUACCUAUAAUCAAGAACAAGAACUACCAAAGAAGACACAUGCCCAAGCAACAUCAACAUAAAACCUUUCAAACAUGAAGAACCAUAAACAACAACCCAAUAAUCACAUCAUAUAAACAGAUAAGUUAAAGUCGUAGAAACGCAAAUAACAUAGGAGUGCCAAAAAGCCAGACUUAUAAGGAAACAUACUCGCACGAUCUCCUUGCCUAUGUUGUUUGGAUAACAUGGAAGUAAGCCAGUUCACCACCUCCCUCCUCGACCUCCAUCUGAACCCGGCCUGCACGGAGUUAUCGGCCCCAUGGGCGUUAAAGAACUCAUCAGAUACAACAUAGAACAUGUGCCUAACACUCCUUUCAGUGCCCACAACAGCAAGAAUUGAUUCCCCUGAAUUAUCUUUCAGAAAAUAGUGAACCACGCGGUUGCCCCUCUCUUUUGACACAUAUUGCUCCUUCCACUCCACAAAAUAUCGCUCAUUGACAGCCAUGGCUGAUAAUCAAGCAACCACUUUUCACAACUACUCCUCAGCUGCCAUCAGAAUCCAGCUCAAACCCUAAUUUGAAAAACUAAACUGCUUCCCCACAACAAAAUUGUGAGAAAAACUACCUCACCGUCUCACCAUAAGAUAUAGAUUAGCUGAUAACAGACACAAUGCCGGAAAAAAUCAACAAAAGGCCCCAAAUGUUAGAAAGAAAUCAAAGCCAAGGUUGACCAGCGUAGAACGCCUCAAGACCCAAAACCCAGAGAUAUAAAGCUAUCUCUAAGCCACAAGACACUCAGGAAAUCUUGAAGCCAUGAAGAUCUGCUGAACCAAGUCAGAUAAAAAAGGGGUUGUGGGUCAGAAGCCUGAGAACCCCAUAAGACAUACAGCACAUAAAUGGGAAUCUAACUAUGAGCAUGAAAUUAACUCUGGAAAGGUGGAAAUUGGGCCUUGAGCAGGAUUUUCAGUUGAAACAAACUGGAGAAGACGGAACUGCGGAAAUUGGAAAAUAAAGAAAUUAAAACUGGAGUCUUUUCGUGGUGCAGCCUUUUAACUCAAAGAGAAAAGGUUGGCGGAGAGAAAAAU
rnacentral:lncRNA from 1 species